UCCCCAGGGGAACUCUCAGGCCAACUCCUUCUGUUCGCUGCUGUGCUGUUCGCUGCUCAGCUGGUUCGCAGCUGACUGGCUUUUUAUACAGUCAGGCCCACUUAAGGCUCACCUGGAACAAAGCACUCCCAGUUCCCGCCCUUUUCAAACAACCAAUCAAGCACACGCUUAAGUGAGCUUCCAACCCCUCGUCCGCGCUCUUUGGAGCUGUUAUGGGAGGGGCACGCGGGACAGGCAUUCUAGUCAAGCGGGUGAAAAAAGAGAGCCCUGGCCUGGAGGGAUGAGCACAGGGGCUCAAACCCUCCUGGCUCUGCCGCUGGACUCCCUGGGCAGCCUCAGGCAAGUCACUGAAUCCCUCUGCCUCAGUUUACUCCCUGGGGGCAGCUCGAGCUCCCUCCCAGGUGCG